rnacentral:rRNA from 1 species
UACAUGGGGUGCAAACGUUGCUCGGAAUUACUGGGCGUAAAGCGCACGUAGGCGGCGAUCUAAGUCAGAGGUGAAAGCCCGGGGCUCAACCCCGGAAUAGCCUUUGAGACUGGAUUGCUAGAAUCUUGGAGAGGCGGGUGGAAUUCCGAGUGUAGAGGUGAAAUUCGUAGAUAUUCGGAAGAACACCAGUGGCGAAGGCGGCCCGCUGGACAAGUAUUGACGCUGAGGUGCGAAAGCGUGGGGAGCAAACAGG